UCCGUCAUCUUCUUCAAUCCCAUCCAUCAUAUAAUCAUCCACAAUAAACCCAACGCGUUUUACUGUUCCAUUGUCCUGCCAAACCAGCAAAUAAACUCUUACCAAAAGAAAUAGAGAGAGAGAGAGAGAGAGAGAGGUUGCACUGCAGAAGGCUCCUUUUAGUAGUGCCAGUUGGAAUUGAAUGACUUAGACAUUUUGGCAACAAUCAAAAGGGUGGCGUUUUAGAAGUUGUGUAACUUUGGCUUAUGAAAAUCUGAUUGUUGGUAUAGAAGAAAAACUAGAUUUUUAAGGAUUAAGGCAUAUGGGAUAAAGUUUGCUAUUUCUCUUCCUUUUGGAGUUCAGUGACACUACCAUUUGAGGCAUCUCCUUCGUUCCUGAUUAGUAACAAAGGUAAAGUCCUGUGUGAUACGAUUCUCUCUCUUGGUGGAUGCCCCAUCCCGUAUGUAAUUUUAAUUUUUGUACCCCUUAUCAACGAAAUUCCAUAUUGCUUUAAAAAAUAGAGAGAGUUGAGAGAG